rnacentral:misc_RNA from 1 species
GAUGAAGAACGUAGCGAAAUGCGAUACGUAGUGUGAAUUGCAGAAUUCAGUGAAUCAUCGAAUCUUUGAACGCACAUUGCACCUCUCGGUAUUCCGGGAGGUAUGCCUGUUCGAGCGUCAUUUGUACCCUCAAGCUCUGCUUGGUGUUGGGUGUUUGUUCCGCCUCUGUGUGUGAACUCGCCUCAAAACAAUUGGCAGCCGGCGUACUUGUUUCGGAGCGCAGCACAUUUUGCGAUCCAGAUCAGCGUGCAGCGGCAUCCAAGAAGCCUUAUUUAACGCUCUUGACCUCGGAUCAGGUAGGGAUACCCGCUGAACUUAAGCAUAUCAAUAAGCGGAGGA